AACGAACGCUGGCGGCAGGCCUAACACAUGCAAGUCGAACGCCCCCUUCGGGGGGAGUGGCGCACGGGUGAGUAACGCGUGGGAAUCUGCCCUUUGGUUCGGAAUAACCCUGGGAAACUAGGGCUAACACCGGAUAAGCCCGAGAGGGGAAAGUUUACGCCAAAGGAGGAGCCCGCGUCCGAUUAGCUAGUUGGUGAGGUAAAAGCUCACCAAGGCUUCGAUCGGUAGCUGGUCUGAGAGGACGAUCAGCCACACUGGGACUGAGACACGGCCCAGACUCCUACGGGAGGCAGCAGUGGGGAAUAUUGGGCAAUGGGCGCAAGCCUGACCCAGCCAUGCCGCGUGAGUGAUGAAGGCCUUAGGGUUGUAAAGCCCUUUUAGUAGUGAAGAUGAUGACAGUAGCUACAGAAAAAGCCCCGGCUAACUUCGUGCCAGCAGCCGCGGUAAAAC
rnacentral:rRNA from 1 species